rnacentral:rRNA from 1 species
AUAGAUAUCACAUAGAACACCGAUCGCGAAGGCAGGUGGCCAACUAUGAACUGACACUGAUGGACGAAAGCGUGGGGAGCGAACGGGAUUAGAUACCCCGGUAGUCCACGCCGUAAACGAUGGAUACUAGCUGUGGGGACUUCGGUCUCCGUGGCCAAGCGAAAGUGAUAAGUAUCCCACUUGGGGAGUACGUUCGCAAGAAUGAAACUCAAAGGAAUUGACGGGGGCCCGCACAAGCGGUGGAGCAUGUGGUUUAAUUUGAUGAUACGCGAGGAACCUUACCAGGGCUUAAAUGCAGUAUGACAAGGGUAGAGAUACCUUCUUCUUCGGACAUAUUGCAAGGUGCUGCAUGGUUGUCGUCAGCUCGUGCCGUGAGGUGUCAGGUUAAGUCCUAUAACGAGCGCAACCCCUGCCGUUAGUUGCCGGCAUGUCAAGAUGGGGACUCUAACGGGACUGCCGGGCAAACCGUGAGGAAGGUGGGGACGACGUCAAAUCAUCACGGCCUUUACGUCCUGGGCCACACACGUGCUACAAUGGCCGGUACAGAGGGAAGCCACCCCGCGAGGGGGAGCGGAUCUACAAAGCCGGUCUCAGUUCGGAUCGGGGUCUGCAACUCGACCCCGUGAAGCUGGAAUCGCUAGUAAUUGCAUAUCAGCCAUGAUGCGGUGAAUACGUUCCCGGGCCUUGUACACACCGCCCA